rnacentral:rRNA from 1 species
UUAACAAAAACAUGUCUUUUUGAGUUAUUUUUAAAGUCUGACCUGCCCACUGAAGUUAUUUAAAUGGCCGCAGCAUUCUAACUGUGCAAAGGUAGCAUAAUCAUUAGUCUUUUAAUUGAAGGCUGGUAUGAACGGUUGGACGAGGUAUAAGCUGUUUCAUAUAAAUUUAUAGUAGAAUUUUAUAUUUUAGUCAAAAAGCUAAAAUUUAAUUAAAAGACGAGAAGACCCUAUAAAUCUUUAUACUUUAUGUUGUUUAAAUUUUUUGGAUUAAUUUUAUUUUUUUAAUUUAAAGUAUUUUGUUGGGGUGAUAUUAAAAUUUAAUGAACUUUUAAUUAUUUAAAAUCAUUAAUUUAUGAGUUAUUGAUCCAUUAGUAGUGGUUAUAAGAUUAAGUUACUUUAGGGAUAACAGCGUAAUUUUUUUGGAGAGUUCAUAUCGAUAAAAAAGUUUGCGACCUCGAUGUUGGAUUAAGAUAUAUUUUUAGGUGUAGCCGCUUAAAUGUUAAGUCUGUUCGACUUUUAAAUUCUUACGUGAUGUGAGUUC